CCGGAGCUUGCUCCACCGGAAAAAGAGGAGUGGCGAACGGGUGAGUAACACGUGGGUAACCUGCCCAUCAGAAGGGGAUAACACUUGGAAACAGGUGCUAAUACCGUAUAACAAUCAAAACCGCAUGGUUUUGAUUUGAAAGGCGCUUUCGGGUGUCGCUGAUGGAUGGACCCGCGGUGCAUUAGCUAGUUGGUGAGGUAACGGCUCACCAAGGCCACGAUGCAUAGCCGACCUGAGAGGGUGAUCGGCCACAUUGGGACUGAGACACGGCCCAAACUCCUACGGGAGGCAGCAGUAGGGAAUCUUCGGCAAUGGACGAAAGUCUGACCGAGCAACGCCGCGUGAGUGAAGAAGGUUUUCGGAUCGUAAAACUCUGUUGUUAGAGAAGAACAAGGAUGAGAGUAACUGUUCAUCCCUUGACGGUAUCUAACCAGAAAGCCACGGCUAACUACGUGCCAGCAGCCGCGGUAAUACGUAGGUGGCAAGCGUUGUCCGGAUUUAUUGGGCGUAAAGCGAGCGCAGGCGGUUUCUUAAGUCUGAUGUGA
rnacentral:rRNA from 1 species